CGCGGGAUAGAGUAGUUUGGUAGCUCGCAAGGCUCAUAACCUUGAGGUCGUAGGUUCGAAUCCUACUCCCGC
rnacentral:tRNA from 1 species